GAUGAACGCUGGCGGCGUGCCUAAUACAUGCAAGUCGAGCGAACAGACGAGGAGCUUGCUCCUCUGACGUUAGCGGCGGACGGGUGAGUAACACGUGGAUAACCUACCUAUAAGACUGGGAUAACUUCGGGAAACCGGAGCUAAUACCGGAUAAUAUAUUGAACCGCAUGGAUCAAUAGUGAAAGACGGCUUUGCCGUCACUUAUAGAUGGAUCCGCGCCGCAUUAGCUAGUUGGUAAGGUAACGGCUUACCAAGGCAACGAUGCGUAGCCGACCUGAGAGGGUGAUCGGCCACACUGGAACUGAGACACGGUCCAGACUCCUACGGGAGGCAGCAGUAGGGAAUCUUCCGCAAUGGGCGAAAGCCUGACGGAGCAACGCCGCGUGAGUGAUGAAGGUCUUCGGAUCGUAAAACUCUGUUAUUAGGGAAGAACAAAUGUGUAAGUAACUAUGCACGUCUUGACGGUACCUAAUCAGAAAGCCCCGGCUAACUACGUG
rnacentral:rRNA from 1 species